GUCCUUACCUGCAGGGGUGAUACCUUGAUCACAAAGGUGGUUUUCCCAGGACGAGGCUUGUCCAUUGCACUCCAGAUGUGCUGACCCCUGUGAUUUCCUCAAACAGGAGAAACUUAGCUGCGCAAUAUGUGGUAGCUGGGAUGGCAUCUGUGCUUUCCCCU